UACAUGGGGUGCAAACGUUGCUCGGAAUCAUUGGGCGUAAAGCGCACGUAGGCGGUUCGUUAUGUCGGAUGUGAAAGCCCUCGGCUUAACCGGGGAAGUGCAUCCGAAACUGGCGAGCUUGAGUACUAAAGAGGGUCGCGGAAUUCCCGGUGUAGAGGUGAAAUUCGUAGAUAUCGGGAGGAACACCAGUGGCGAAGGCGACUACCUGGCCUGUUCUUGACGCUGAGGCGCGAAAGCUAGGGGAGCAAACGGG
rnacentral:rRNA from 1 species